rnacentral:lncRNA from 1 species
GAAAAAACUUAUUAACACCUAGCAUUUACAUCAAAUCAAUAAAAGCAUAAUAUUGGUCUUUCAUGUAAUUUUUUGUCACAACCAAUACGUAUUGUCACAUCAAUUUGUGACAAAAUGUUUCCUUCAAAGUUAACUUUGAUUGACAUAAACACCUGAGUGCAAGUAAACUUUCCUUAAAUACAACUAUACAACCAUUAUCUUGACUGGUUUCAGAAGGAACAUAAAUGAGAGAGGAAUUAAAUCUGGAAGGUUGUAAAUCAGAUUAGACACAAUGACCUCAAUAUUUGUUUUCCUGGCAGUGCUGUAAGAGAAGCCCAGAAAGAGCACUUGUAGGCUCCAUUAUAAAACAAGAGCUGCACCAUUCUGUUUGACAAUAGUUGAUGAUGGCAAGUUAGCUGUAGCUUCAUUUCCUUUUAGAGGUAUAAUAGCUCUUGAUCUCACACAUGGUCAAGGUGUGACUAGAUUAAAGCAAAUACAAUAUCUUCAAAACCAACACAAGGUUUUUGAGCAGGAUUUUCAAGCAAGCCCAGUCGAAGGCUUACCCAGUAGGAUUUAGGGAGGGUCAAAAAAGUUUUCAUGAUGAUCAAGGUUAGGCUUAUGCCCAAACUAACCCAGUAUUAUGUUGUCAGCUUUUUCCCAUUCCUUUAUCUCGAGUUCACCCCAUCUUUAUCAUGGCCGACGGAGUUCUUGCAAAAAGUUUCAAAAGCACAGGAUCCACCUAUGUAAAUUUCAUGUAUGCAUUAAGAAUGCAAAAGCUAAAACACGAAAUGUAAGUCAGCAAGCUCACAGAGAAAGGAUAAACCGAAUCUUGGUUGUGCACCAUAGUGACUGGGUGAGAAGGGGAAAUAUCCUUCACUUUGUUGAUGUCCUGGUUGUUUUGCCUUCACUGCUUCAUUUUCUCUCUGCCUGCUGGGGAAUUUUAUCAAUUAAAAGAAAACUAUCCUUUAUAAGAUUUCACGUACUUGUGGUGCAGUGCUACACUAUUCUGGAAACUUCAUGUGUUGGUUGGUACUCUUUUAUCUUUUCCACUUCCAUACUCUGGUUGUGCAUCCUCUCAUGUAUCUUGUUCCGUGGUUCUGCUAUCUUCUUGUUAUUCUCCUUUGCCCUGUUAUUCCUGCUUAUUCGUUGUUGGCUGAUUCCUAGUCUCUUUGCGUCCUGAAUAGAUGCUUAUCUUGUUGUCCAUAUUUUCCUGCUCCAUGUUUCGGUUCUUAUACUAGCUCGAGACAACAACCUGCUUCCUCCGAAUUAGUCACUUCAAGCAUCUAUAGUAACCAUUGACCGGUAACCUUCUUCCAAUGCAAAUAUAUCUCAGACUCAUUAGUUCUAUUUAUGAUGUGUUGUCAAUUGAUGUUGAUGAGACGAUUUAGUGACAUAAAGGGGGAUGGAGACCUGUGUUUGUGUUGUAUGGGCACUAGUAUCAUUUCCUCGUGCUAUGCUCACUCUCCCUGUUUGUGUUGAAGGGCACUAGGAAAAUCGAUAAACUUUGGGUUUAACUCCAGUCAAAUACUUGAUUCCUGUUCUUUCCUUGGAGCAGUCCGAUCAAGUGGAAUCAAAUCCUACAGGCUCAUAUGCUAACACAGCCACUCAGUUACUCUUAUAAGAUUUCUAUAAGCAUGAAGCAAAUUGUGUGUCAAAUGCUGUAUCUCAUAAAGAUAUAAAGAAAGUUAAAUGGUAACUAGUUUGAAAAGGAUUUUGGAAUUAUGCUUUGAUCCCAAAAGGUGUUGCAUUCCUCUGUAGGAUUAAUGCUUUAUUAGCACAAAUUAGGACUUACGGUAGGGUUUAUUCCGAUGCCAAUUAAUUCAUAAUUGUAGCCUAUUGUAACCUAAUUCCACGCUCAUCCAGAGUUCCAAAACAAGUUAUACUUGUUCAAAUCGAAGGAUUGAAUCAUGAAUUGCAACAUCUUUGCUAUUCUAUGCCAUACUAGUGAACUACUUUGAUGGAACCUAAACAAAUUCAGUAAGUCCUCUAUAAUCAUCUAUAAUAUACUGAAAGCAGAAAUCCAACCUAGAAUAACUAACAAGCUCUCUUCUCAAAGUCGAGAUCCAUAUUUACCUACAUGUUUCCACUACUAACCUGAAAAAUCCAAGAGCGGUGUGUUGAAUUCCCUUAAAGUCUCCGCUACACUCUGCUUCAUGUAUUGUCUGAAUUCCAAAUAGCAGAUUUGAACCUGUUUAAAGGAAGUUUUUCCAAUCCUCCUUCCUAAUAGUAAGUAAAAGUGCCAUAAGUAUCAACUCUUAAUCUAUGUGGUAAUUACUAUUAUCUUAGAGUUAUUCAGCAUGGCAGAUACUUCCAUCUACUUAAUAUACCACUUAUCACAUAUUUGAUUCAGGUCAUCUGUCAUCAUCACCAGAGACACUUAUAGAUUCUUGCUGAUGCAGCAUUUGUUGUUUCAACAAGUUCUAUAUAAGCAGAAAGAUAAACCACAAGAAAUACCAUACCGAAUCAAACAGAUGCAUGCUGGAAAUUGGAAUAGUUUAUCCCAGACGAAUAGUGCAGGAACAAACUGAUACCGGUUCUUUUUCCCCAGUUUAUGGUACACUAGUUUGAGACCAAAAGUCAGCCAUCAAACAGUCAUGAUGCCUGAAAUGAGGGAGGUCACUGGAGAAUAACGCGGCGAUAAAACUAGUAAUGCUCACCCGUUACAGUUUAGUUCCACUCCACCAUGUCCACUGAUAAGAGAAUAUAACCUAGAGGAAUCCGCCUGCCAGAUGAGAUAAUUAGGCUAACAAGCAGAAGAAGGAAUAUGAUGGUCUUGACAUGAUAAGCCGGAAUUUAGAGUUUGUUUAUAUCUGCAUAAGCUGAAUCCAUGAUCUAAUUAAUCAACUAAACCAUAAUCCAAAAUCAGUUGAGGCCGGCUAUAUGAUUCCUAUAUAUCCAUUCUGCUCUGAAACCGGGAUCUAAUGCCUCUUUAAUUUGCAUUUGCAGAAGAAUGAAGUGAAAUCCCAAAAAGACAUCUGCAAUGCUAUAGGUUUAAGGUCCAGAUGAGACACCAUUUUAACAAAUUCCAUUAGAGGAUAGUUCGUUUGUCUAACAGAGAAUGCUUUAAAAUUGCAGAUCUCUAUAUCAGAGGAGAGAAUGGAAGAUGUCUCAACCCCACCUAAAUCGAUAUAGGAUCUACUCUCAAAGGUAAGCAAUAUAAAAUUUUCAAAAAGGAAUAUAUCGUGAGGAGAUUUUGGUGUUCACCGUAUCAAUAGCAUAGCCAUUCCACAAACACAAAAUACAAAAACUCAGUUGGAUGAAAUGUCUACACAAGUUUAGCGAUUGAAAACCCUACCAGAGGUCCUAAGUUUCACAUUAUGACAAUUUGCUCAACAUCGCAACUAUUUAUAGAUUAAAUUAUAUGGAAAACCUAAGUUUGAAUUCCUAUCCAUGGAUACCGUAAUUAAGUUAUAAAGAUAACUAGUCUUCACCAUCUAGGGAGCAUAGUUCAUGGAGCAAAUUCAUGUGAUAAUUCAACAAAUGGAACCUAACAUAUCUAAUAAAUAACCUGAACCUGAGUAUCCUGGUCUUCUGCCUCAAACUAGCACCCUGGUAUUGCAUCUCAGAUAUGACCUAAUCCUUCACUGGUGCUAAAUCAGACUUUUGUGCUCUCAAGUUAGCAUCUAUUCCCUUGGUUAGUUUACCCACUGUAACUGACUGUCACGUCCAACGAGAGCGUGAGCAUCCCACUAUUCUUUCUUCUCAUGGGGGCAUUCUACUAGCAAAGAAGACUCCUAUAAGUGGUAGUACCUAGUUGGGGCUUUGUGGUAUAAUUCUUUGCCAAAAGAGGUCUCUCCAGUGUUACAUGUUUAUAUCUACAACCGAUCCCUCACCAGAGCUGACGGACAUCUCAGGUAACCAUCCUUGACUUACCGAUGGGUCAAUGAGGAUAGCAUAAAAGGCAUCCAACUGGGAAAAAGGCAGUGAGGGAAUAAGUAUUAUCAGAAAUUUCAAAUAACAAGAAAGUAAAAGUUCAGGUGCUCCAUAAAAUCCAAAUAUAUGUCAAUGACCAAGGGCAUGAUUAAUCAAAACAUACCAUGGAAUGUGGAUUCAUGGUUUUCUAAGGCUGGAGACAAGCAAGGGCGUUAGGAAAGUCUUGCAAUGAUUCCUGAAGCAGUCAUUCCGGUUGGAAAAAAACACCCUUGACCAUCUGAGGAGGAUAACCUGAGAGUAAAAGGACAUGAACACAAAUGAAAAUGUUCACAUACAUAUCAAGUUCAUAAUCCAUCCACAGGAGCUCUAUAUUCUUCUAGGACUUCAAUCUCACUACGAAUCCGUCAUUAAAUUGCCAAUGGUAAAAGUUUAAAAAUUGCAUCCUUCCAGCCUGAAAGGCAAUAUCAACCCCAACCAAUGUGUGUGCUAUCUUCAGACGUUCAUCGCUAAAGAGUUUGUUUCUUAUUGCUAUGGAAAAACUAAGACACGAUACAUUUUUGCCGUACAUCGUUUACUGCUAGUUGAUCUCUAUCAUCAAACAAGGGUGUCAAGUUCCAUUGUACCUGUUCAAAAAAGGGUGUCAAGUUUCCUAAUUAGAAAAUUGAGCAGGGAGACUACAGGUCGAAGAGAUGCUUAAUUAAAAUCUCAGAGAUCCAACUGUCUAAAGUGCUGACGCACAACGAUGCAGAUGGAGUUGCUGGCUAAGAGAUGAUUUCUACAACCAGGCUCAGCAAUUGCAAUAAAUGCUUCUUUCUCCCUGAAGACCAGGGUCCACUUGGUACAUGGAUUGCGCAGAUGAUAGGAUAUGUAACUUCGUAUGCACUUAUUCUCGACAAGAUUAAUUAACUCAAUCCGGUGAGGACAAGAUUACUAAAUGGGCCGGUACUCACAUAGGACAAAUAGCAAAUGCCCCUAGCAUGCAAAUAAGAAGGGAAAACCUCCUCUCAUUCUAUAUAAUUCAUUGCUCAUUAUUCCACAGUCAUUCCUAGGGCAGUAAACUUCCUCAAUACCCGUGAUAAUCACAGGUCCCCAAUAGAUGAUUAGUUGACCAAAUAUCCCAAAUGUCUAAGGUGCUGAAAGACCAAGAAUGCAUAUGUAAAUUUUGUGAGAAGUUAAUUCUUAAACCAUGUUGAGCAAUUGUAACAGAGGUUUCUUUCUUGCUUCCUGAAGAUUAGGAGUCAUUUCUUACAGACUGUUCACCUGAUAAGGUUUAUCUCCCCCAAUUUUUAGCUUAGGUACAUUAAUAUUAAUCUUAAGAGACUACAAAACUGAUCAGCAGAUAACUAUUAAUCUAGGUC